rnacentral:rRNA from 1 species
GCGCGAAAACUUUACAAUGCUGGCAACAGCGAUAAGGGAACCUCGAGUGCCAGGUUACAAAUCUGGCUGUCGAGAUGCCUAAAAAGCAUUUCAUAGCAAGGGCCGGGCAAGACCGGUGCCAGCCGCCGCGGUAACACCGGCGGCUCGAGUGGUAACCGUUAUUAUUGGGUCUAAAGGGUCUGUAGCCGGCCGGAUAAGUCUCUUGGGAAAUCUGGCAGCUCAACUGUCAGGCUUUCAGGAGAUACUGUCUGGCUCGAGGCCGGGAGAGGUGAGAGGUACUUCAGGGGUAGGGGUGAAAUCUUGUAAUCCUUGAAGGACCACCAGUGGCGAAGGCGUCUCACCAGAACGGACCUGACGGCAAGGGACGAAAGCUAGGGGCACG